AGUGAACGCUGGCGGUAGGCCUAACACAUGCAAGUCGAACGGCAGCACAGUAAGAGCUUGCUCUUACGGGUGGCGAGUGGCGGACGGGUGAGGAAUACAUCGGAAUCUAAUUUUUCGUGGGGGCUAACGUAGGGAAACUUACGCUAAUACCGCAUACGACCUACGGGUGAAAGCAGGGGAUCUUCGGACCUUGCGCGAUUGAAUGAGCCGAUGUCGGAUUAGCUAGUUGGCGGGGUAAAGGCCCACCAAGGCGACGAUCCGUAGCUGGUCUGAGAGGAUGAUCAGACACACUGGAACUGAGACACGGUCCAGACUCCUACGGGAGGCAGCAGUGGGGAAUAUUGGACAAUGGGCGCAAGCCUGAUCCAGCCAUACCGCGUGGGUGAAGAAGGCCUUCGGGUUGUAAAGCCCUUUUGUUGGGAAAGAAAAGCAGCAGGUUAAUACCCCGCUGUUCUGACGGUACCCAAAGAAUAAGCACCGGCUAACUUCGUG
rnacentral:rRNA from 1 species